rnacentral:rRNA from 1 species
CCUACGGGAGGCAGCAGUGAGGAAUAUUGGUCAAUGGACGAGAGUCUGAACCAGCAAAGUAGCGUGAAGGAUGACUGCCCUCUGGGUUGUAAACUUCUUUUAUAUGGGAAUAAAACGUUCCACGUGUGGGAUUUUGUAUGUACCAUAUGAAUAAGGAUCGGCUAACUCCGUGCCAGCAGCCGCGGUAAUACGGAGGAUCCGAGCGUUAUCCGGAUUUAUUGGGUUUAAAGGGAGCGUAGGUGGCUGGUUAAGUCAGUUGUGAAAGUUUGCGGCUCAACCGUAAAAUUGCAGUUGAAACUGGCAGUCUUGAGUACAGUAGAGGUGGGCGGAAUUCGUGGUGUAGCGGUGAAAUGCUUAGAUAUCACGAAGAACUCCGAUUGCGAAGGCAGUUCACUGGACUGCAACUGACACUGAGGCUCGAAAGUGUGGGUAUCAAACAGGAUUAGAUACCCGAGUAGUC